GAUGAACGCUGGCGGCGUGCCUAAUACAUGCAAGUCGAGCGAACAGACGAGGAGCUUACUCCUCUGACGUUAGCGGCGGACGGGUGAGUAACACGUGGAUAACCUACCUAUAAGACUGGGAUAACUUCGGGAAACCGGAGCUAAUACCGGAUAACAUGUUGAACCGCAUGGUUCAACAGUGAAAGACGGUCUUGCUGUCACUUAUAGAUGGAUCCGCGUCGCAUUAGCUAGUUGGUAAGGUAACGGCUUACCAAGGCAACGAUGCGUAGCCGACCUGAGAGGGUGAUCGGCCACACUGGAACUGAGACACGGUCCAGACUCCUACGGGAGGCAGCAGUAGGGAAUCUUCCGCAAUGGGCGAAAGCCUGACGGAGCAACGCCGCGUGAGUGAAGAAGGCCUUCGGAUCGUAAAACUCUGUUAUUAGGGAAGAACAAAUGUGUAAGUAACUAUGCACGUCUUGACGGUACCUAAUCAGAAAGCCACGGCUAACUACGUG
rnacentral:rRNA from 1 species